UACGGAGGGUGCGAACGUUAAUCGGAAUUACUGGGCGUAAAGCGCACGUAGGCGGUUUGUUAAGUGGGAUGUGAAAUCCCCGGGCUCAACCUGGGAAUUGCAUUUCAAACUGGCAGACUAGAGUGUAGUAGAGGGGGGUAGAAUUCCAGGUGUAGCGGUGAAAUGCGUAGAGAUCUGGAGGAAUACCGAUGGCGAAGGCAGCCACCUGGGUCAACACUGACGCUCAUGUACGAAAGCGUGGGGAGCAAACGGG
rnacentral:rRNA from 1 species